AAAAAAGCCCUUCAGGAGGCUCUCAGCAGACUCUUGAUGACCUGCAGGCAGAGGAAGACAAAGUCAACACUCUGACCAAGGCCCAAGACCAAGCUUGAGCAGCAAGUGGAUGAUCUUGAGGGUUCCUCUGGAGCAAGAGAAAAGCUUCGUAUGGCCCUUAGAGAGCCAAGAGAAAGCUUGAGGGGGAUCUGAAACUGGCUCAGGAAUCCUCAUGGAUUUUGAGAAUGCAAGCAGCAGUCUGAUGAGAAAUAAAAAAG